GUUUAGCCCCACCCAACCAUGCCCAUCGACAAUUUUUUUAGCCGUUGAUUAAAUAUUGAUCGACGGAUGGAUAUAGUCAAUAACAACGAUGCAAUAUGUUUGGCUACAAAUACAUCACCGACCAGAUCCCCAUUUGCAUCUUUAUACUUUGGUCUCUCCAACUUCUUUUUUCCUUUCUGAGUCUUCCCAAUUUCUUUGUUCCAUUGCUAGGGUUUUCUAUCGAAGAGCUCCUGCAAUUGUGGUCCUGCAUUUGUCCAUUCCCAUUGUGUCGCCGCAAUUGUGCCUUUAGAUUUUCCAUCGAAGAACAACUGGCCUUGUGGUACUGCAUUUGUGCUUUCUCAUUGUGCAGCCGAUCGUUAGUUUAUGAUUUGCUAUAACAGGAAAAAAGAAACCGUAGAUGGUUGUACGCAUUGAUUUUCUGUACCGGUCAAAAAAAGCCUUUGCUCAGUGUUGAAGUUGGUGGAUGACCAUCACAUCAAUUUGCUAAGAGGUUGAAUUCGGAGGUAAAAUGGAGCCGCCUCUUGAUGUACUUUUGUUUAGGGUUGCUAUUACUUUUGUUUAUGCCUUUGGCUUGGGAUUGUACUUUUGGUAUGGAAAUGUAACCUUUGGACGAAAUGUAGUAUGUAUAUCAACUGGUGGUUUGAAGAAUGGAUAACUGUUAUUAUGUUUGAACA